rnacentral:rRNA from 1 species
AUUGAACGCUGGCGGCAGGCUUAACACAUGCAAGUCGAGCGGGGAAAGGUAGCUUGCUACCUGACCUAGCGGCGGACGGGUGAGUAAUGCUUAGGAAUCUGCCUAUUAGUGGGGGACAACAUUCCGAAAGGAAUGCUAAUACCGCAUACGCCCUACGGGGGAAAGCAGGGGAUCUUCGGACCUUGCGCUAAUAGAUGAGCCUAAGUCAGAUUAGCUAGUUGGUGGGGUAAAGGCCUACCAAGGCGACGAUCUGUAGCGGGUCUGAGAGGAUGAUCCGCCGCACUGGGACUGAGACACGGCCCAGACUCCUACGGGAGGCAGCAGUGGGGAAUAUUGGACAAUGGGCGAAAGCCUGAUCCAGCCAUGCCGCGUGUGUGAAGAAGGCCUUUUGGUUGUAAAGCACUUUAAGCGAGGAGGAGGCUACCGAGAUUAAUACUCUUGGAUAGUGGACGUUACUCGCAGAAUAAGCACCGGCUAACUCUGUGCCAGCAGCCGCCGUAA